GGUCGGGUAGUCCUACCAGACGAUGCAAUCGCAACCUUGGCCACUGGUUCAACAUAUGUCUACAGUUUACACAACUCAAACGCUCAACAGGCACAAUUUGGACUUGUAGCGUUUGAGGACACAACAGCAAUCACUAUAAACUACAAUGAGUAUACAGUCAGUACGGAGACCAUUGAUGGUGCACCUGCUAGCGGUCCGACCGAGACCGUUUCUUUAGACGAAUACCAGGUUUUAAUGAUGAAAGGAG